GACGAACGCUGGCGGCGUGCUUAACACAUGCCAGUCGAACGGAAAGGCCUGCUUUUGUGGGGUGCUCGAGUGGCGAACGGGUGAGUAACACGUGAGUAACCUGCCCUUGACUUUGGGAUAACUUCAGGAAACUGGGGCUAAUACCGGAUAGGAGCUCCUGCUGCAUGGUGGGGGUUGGAAAGUUUCGGCGGUUGGGGAUGGACUCGCGGCUUAUCAGCUUGUUGGUGGGGUAGUGGCUUACCAAGGCUUUGACGGGUAGCCGGCCUGAGAGGGUGACCGGCCACAUUGGGACUGAGAUACGGCCCAGACUCCUACGGGAGGCAGCAGUGGGGAAUAUUGCACAAUGGGCGGAAGCCUGAUGCAGCAACGCCGCGUGCGGGAUGACGGCCUUCGGGUUGUAAACCGCUUUCGCCUGUGACGAGGCGUGAGUGACGGUAAUGGGUAAAGAAGCACCGGCUAACUACGUG
rnacentral:rRNA from 1 species